rnacentral:rRNA from 1 species
AACGCUAGCUACAGGCUUAACACAUGCAAGUCGAGGGGCAGCAUGAACUUAGCUUGCUAAGUUUGAUGGCGACCGGCGCACGGGUGAGUAACGCGUAUCCAACCUUCCGUACACUCAGGAAUAGCCUUUCGAAAGAAAGAUUAAUACCUGAUGGUAUGAUGAGAUUGCAUGAAAUCAUCAUUAAAGAUUCAUCGGUGUACGAUGGGGAUGCGUUCCAUUAGAUAGUAGGCGGGGUAACGGCCCACCUAGUCGACGAUGGAUAGGGGUUCUGAGAGGAAGGUCCCCCACAUUGGAACUGAGACACGGUCCAAACUCCUACGGGAGGCAGCAGUGAGGAAUAUUGGUCAAUGGGCGCGAGCCUGAACCAGCCAAGUAGCGUGAAGGAUGAAGGUCCUACGGAUUGUAAACUUCUUUUAUAAGGGAAUAAAGUCACCUACGUGUAGGUGUUUGUAUGUACCUUAUGAAUAAGCAUCGGCUAACUCCGUGCCAGCAGCCGCGGUAAUACGGAGGAUGCGAGCGUUAUCCGGAUUUAUUGGGUUUAAAGGGAGCGCAGACGGGUCGUUAAGUCAGCUGUGAAAGUUUGGGGCUCAACCUUAAAAUUGCAGUUGAUACUGGCGUCCUUGAGUGCGGUUGAGGUGUGCGGAAUUCGUGGUGUAGCGGUGAAAUGCUUAGAUAUCACGAAGAACUCCGAUUG